CUUUUUGUCUAAAAGUGCAUAAAAUGCCAAACGACGUGUUAAAAGUACGGUUACCGUCGGCCGUCGGCGUUAGCGAAUAAAAGACGCCACAGACAAAUCGAACUCGUUGGAAGCAACAUCAGUUAAUUGACUUUAAUAUUAAAUUAUUUCACACCAGAACUUCAACAAUCAAGGGCGUGUUAUUGUUUUCCAUACGGGGCGCGCACACGACGCCUGGAAACCAUUCUAUGCUCGCGCAGCUGACAGCAGCAGGAGCGAAACGCCGGCGUUGCACAGCGGUGUCACAGAGCCACCGCGCUGCGAUCACUUCGGCGGCUUAAUCCAAAUUUGUCGGACAUCUCAUUCUGUGCUGGAAACACUGGGAGGCAGAAAGUUUGAAAAAACGGCCACUGCCGCCCGCAAUGUCUCGGUCGUGGGUUCGUUAUCCAGUUGUGCUUCAUUCUAAGCCGUUCUGUACAUUUAUACUGGAUAUUAACUGAAGUCAUUUAGCUGUGCUAAUGCUGUUUGCCGUGUGUUUUGCAUCAGUGCUUCGUGACGUCGGCUGUAUUGCGUGUUUUCGCCGACGGCUUACUACCACAAUGGCGGGAUCAGCGUUCGCCGCCUUCUUGUCUCGGUGCGUCUUUGUACGUCGCACGUUCGGAUAACACUUUUUCCGACUGCUGGACAUCCUUCUUGUACCUUGGCGCUAGCUGGAUGACGGGACCUCAUCAUGAUCAGUGUAUUGCUUGCCUAUGUCUACGAGAACCGUCACGCGUGGCCUGUGACAGCAAGCUUUUGUGGGCAGCAAGUGCUCUCCUACGAAGGCUGGCCUACUCUGGCAGCGGCGGCAAUCAUCUUCAAGAUUUAUCCAUGAUCACCUUUGCUGCUAUUUGUCACUCUUGUUGAUUGCACUUUCUGCAUCUUUUCUAAUUUAUUAGGUAAUAAAGUAUGAGUAUGUGA